CCAUGUUCUCAAUAGUGGUGAUCGUCGAUCCACACUCAAGUAUCGAGUUCUAAACUCAAAUUAGAAGUAGAUGUGAUCUACUACUCACAUGCAUGCAUGCUGAUUUUAUCUUCAGUAUUUUUUAGAUUUUAUAUGCAACAUAACAUGUCAUAGAUCCUAGAGUAGGUUGAUUUGAUGAUUAGAUCAUAUGUAUGUUAGAUUAAUUUGAUUAAUCUAAUUAUCUUUCACUGUAAUUUUUUUGAAAAAAUUUUGACAUACAUGCAUGAAAUCGCCUAUGC
rnacentral:lncRNA from 1 species